CAGCUGGUGGUCUGCACGUUACAACAGGAUGCAGGCAGCCCAAUCACUCCAACUGAAGCUUAGAUAAGUAUUUCUAGUCUAACAGCACCUGACCACCUACUUCCUCGAGAUCUAAAAAAGCUAAAUAAUGCCAUUACAGAGCCUAAUCAGAAUGUAGUGGGGGACAACGAGACCAAUACAAUUGAUUAGAUCUAAUAACAUGACAUAAUUUACCUGGCCUUGCCAGUGUUCUGUAUUGUUGAGAACAAAAGCACUGUUCCGGUAUGUCAGUCUUGCUCAGUCACCGUUGAUUUCUGAUUUUUUUUUCAGAGAUAGUGUGCCAAGAACUGACAGUACAUCGCCUUUUAACAUCAAUCCUACUGCAAGUAAUUACAACUUUAUUGCUUUUUGCUGCAAGUUUAUGACUUUAGGAUACUACAGUUUCAAACUGCGGAUUAUUCUCUAAUUCCAAAUCUCUAAUAUAUACACGAUCACACAAAGGCACAGGUGUUUGGUAGGGAUUGAGUGUGUGAGUACAACUGGCCAGUCAGUGGCAUUAUCAGCACAUUCCUUCAGUGACAAUUGAGAAGACUUGUUGGUCUCGGAAAGAAUUUCUGCUCCAAGGAGUAGACUGACCCCGAAUGGUUGACUCGCUAGCCGCCUAGCCAGCAGCUAGCAAGCUACAAACUUACCAGAAGACAAUCCGUGUUUACUUCUGACUUUGGGUCCUUCAACAUGGCAUCGAUUUUUUCAAAUCGAGCCGCCAUGCUUUCCCCAGCAGACAUGUUUGCUGUUAAAGUCAGCUCCGAUGUUGGGUUGUGAACAAAAACAGCUCACUGGCGAGGCAGAAGGCUGGCUAGCUAGCUUUAGCAGCAGCCAGCAGUAGCUAGCUAGCCAAAUGUUCCUUUCUUCGUGUGAACUUUACACGGCACUUCAAAGAAAAUACAUCGUUCUCCUGCAGCUUUCACAGACGAUGAAACGUUUAAGAUUGCGUUGAAUGUACAAAAGCCACAUUUUCAGAGUCGAAAGAUGUUUUCCUUGCAAACAACUUCAGUGGCAAAAGAUAAAGUCGGCGACAGAUUAGUCAGCCUCCGCAGGAUGCCACUGAGGAUAAGGGCUUAAAAUGUUGGUGCAUCCAAACAAAAGGCAAUUAAAAGUUAGAUGUAAUGUCUUUUUGAAAAGCACAGUUUACGGAUAUGUUAGUCCAGACUCGUUCCCAUAUUUUGCCAGGCCCUUGCAGAAAACGACAAUAGAUUCUGACAGCUCAAAAGUAGAAGUGGUGGGAAAAAAACUUCUGCUUCUUCCAAAUUUCGAUCAGUUUGAACACGGAGUCGUUACAACGUUUAACGGCAGUCAUUCCGCGGCAUCCCGUGCACUGUCAUCGACUGUUUCCCGUCCACACAGAUACAUCUCUCAGGUCAAGGCAUACAAAUCGGCUUUAAAUAUGUGUUAGUUUUCGGAAAAAAACAGCAGACGAUGCCCGAUUUUCUCCCACAGCCUGACCAACAUGUCCGCCUUCCUGUUCAAACACCCCGGAGAAGCAACUUCAAAAUGUCAAGCAGUGCGCAUGCGCCCUGACGGCGCGUUCACAGACUGGUGGUAAGAUGUUGCUGUUCACAAAUGUUACAAUGUUGGCUAACUCACUGAAACCAUACAGUCUAUGAUUGAAACCCAGCAGAGAAAAACAAUUUAUUGUAGUCUAUUUAUUUCAGUGUUCAAAUGUUUGCCUUUCCCCUUUUAAAAUGUUUUUUUUUUAAGGCUGUUUUUACAAUUUACUGUUUUAAAUGUUGUGCCCUUUUCAAUUAUAUUCUUUCAAGUAAGGUACAUAAAGCUGAAUGGACAUUUGUGCCAGGGUGAUGGAUCAAUUUGCAUAAUGAGUACUUUUUUGAUGCUAAUACUUGUCUACUUUUACUUGAGUAACAUGUUUUAAUACUGGACUUCUUGUAAUUGUUCUAUUAGUUCUACUUUUACUCGAGUACUGAGUGCUGAAUAAAUAAUAAUAAUAAUAAUAAUAAUAAUAAUAAUAAUAAUAAUAAUAAUAAUAAUAAUAAUAAUAAUGAUAAUAAUAAUAAGUUGAAUUUAUAUAGAGCCUUUCUAGGUACCCAAGGCCGCUUUCCAUUUUGUGAGGACAGAAAGAAAACAAACAAACAAAAAACUAGGGCACAUAAAAUAAUAGAAAACUAGAGUAAAAUAAAAUAGAAAACAAAACAUGAGUAAACCAUUUACAUGUUAUACUGUAGUGAUUGAAGAAUUAAUCAUCUAUCAUUUCUUGUAUAUUAUUGUUAUAUUUUCUAAACAUGGCUGUAGAUAAGAUUAGAUUCAAAAGCAAUAGCCUAAUAUCAUCCAAAACAUCUCAAAACAACGUCUAUGUAAUCUCUGUUUAUUUGUCACAUGAACUAUCCGUCUAUUUGUUUGAAGCAAAAGCUUCCCUUUUUAUUAGAAAUUGUUGCUAGAUACUAACUGUGUACUUUAAUUAUGUAAUGAUAGUAUGAAUCAAUAAUUAUAGCAAUAUAAAGCUAUUUUUAAAACACAUCCCCUUUCUUCUUCUACGUUGCAACAAGCCUCCACGUGUGUUAAUUUUGCAUGUGAGCCAGCAGAGGGCGGUGCUGUACAACUUUAAUGUCACAACUCACUUGUGUUAAGAAACUUAAGGCCAAUGAUUUUAACAUUGUUUUAAAACAAAACACGUCAAGAAAGGUGCUUAAAAAAUGUAUAAUUUUUAUUCAUACCGGUUCAUUUACAUUUUUUGUAAAGAUGAUUUAUGUUAAACCUACACAGUACGAAGCCCCUUGCAACAUAGCAUGAACUCAAUGUGUAAGUUCUGUAUGUCUGCCACCUGAGGGAGAUGUUUGCACCUUAAAUAUACCUACCAUGGUCCGAGAAAUACGGUACAAAGGUUUCUUAAUGAAUUAUGUCCAUUUAGACAUUUAUGAACUGCCUUACACAGCAUGUAUGCAUGUAUGCAUGUAUGUAUGUAUGUAUGUAUGUAUGUAUGUAUGUAUGUAUGUAUGUAUGUAUGUAUGUAUGUAUGUAUGUAUGUAUGUAUGUAUGUAUGUAUGUAUGUAUGUAUGUAUGUAUGUAUGUAUGCUUGUAAGUAGCUAUCCAUCACUGAAUUAAUUGUUCAAUUAUUGUUUGGGAUGUUUGAUUUGUUUUGUCUAUUUAUCUGUUUACUUUCUUCAUUUCCUAUUUCCUUUCCUAUUUGAUUUAUAUUUGCUGCAUGUGCACAUCAGUGCAUUGCAAUACAAUAAACGUGUAUUAGAGGGGAAAUACUAUUAUUAGGCCUGGUAUAACGUCUGCUUCUGUUUACUACUGACUCAACAUUCAUACUUACCUUUAAUUAGAUUCAAAGGUUUCAUUGGCACAUGCACAUUUGCUACAGUGUAGUUAUGGCAAUGCAAAUAUUUAGUCCCACAUUCAACAACGCAACAUAAAUAUACACAGCAUAUAAACACUAAAAAAUGUGUGCAAAAACAAACAAACUAGUGCAAGACAAUUGACCAAUGUGCAAGUAAAUGUGUAACUUAUUAGUUAUUUGUCUGACUGUAAUCCUUUGUUGUUUUUUCCUCCCUUUUGAGCCACAAGCUGAUGUGAACUUCUCCUCUUGAACCAAACGGUACGUACAGUAACUCCGUGACGUCACUCAGCGGCUCCCUCUCAGUGCGCAGAUCAGCUGUGGCAGCAGAGCGACCGGAGCAGCAUAGCAGUGUGGCGGCGGUGUUCAACAAGCCACGGACGAACAGUUAACCCAAACACUCGAAUCUACGUGGACAUGACCGUGUAGCACCGACUCUCCUUGUGGAUAAAGGUCAACAUGUGGCGAUGCUGCCAGGAUUUGUGGGGGAGAGAGCUGUCUGUAGCAGUAGGCUUUUCCAUAGGCUGUCACACAUUAUCCAAGGCUACGGUGACCAAGACCCAGCCCUCUGCUGCGAGAACUCAACGUUCCUCUGUGACAGGGAAGGUCACUCUCUCUUUUUCAGUUGUGCACAUUUGUAAUGCAGCCCAACUUGAAAAAAAAACUUCAAAUAUUGAGAAUAAAGAUUUUUGUAUUGAU